GAUGGGCUCGCGUCUGAUUAGCUAGUUGGUGAGGUAACGGCUCACCAAGGCUGCGAUCAGUAGCCAGACUGAGAGGUCGAACGGCCACAUUGGGACUGAGAUACGGCCCAGACUCCUACGGGAGGCAGCAGUGGGAAUAUUGGGCAAUGGGCGAAAGCCUGACCCAGCAACGCCGCGUGAAGGAAGAAGGCUUUCGGGUUGUAAACUUCUUUUAGCAGGGACGAAAAAAUGACGGUACCUGCAGAAUAAGCUCCGGCUAACUACGUGCCAGCAGCCGCGGUAAUACGUAGGGAGCAAGCGUUAUCCGGAUUUACUGGGUGUAAAGGGCGCGUAGGCGGGACGACAAGUCAGGUGUGAAAUCUGGGGGCUCAACCCCCAAACUGCACUUGAAACUGCCGUUCUUGAGUGAUGGAGAGGCAAGUGGAAUUCCUAGUGUAGCGGUGAAAUGCGUAGAUAUUAGGAGGAACACCAGUGGCGAAGGCGACUUACUGGACUGUAACUGACGUUGAGGCUCGAAAGCGUGGGGAGCAAACAGGAUUAGAUACCCUGGUAGUCCACGCCGUAGACGAUGAAUACUAG
rnacentral:rRNA from 1 species